AGCGAACGCUGGCGGCAGGCUUAACACAUGCAAGUCGAGCGGGCAUAGCAAUAUGUCAGCGGCAGACGGGUGAGUAACGCGUGGGAACGUACCUUUUGGUUCGGAACAACACAGGGAAACUUGUGCUAAUACCGGAUAAGCCCUUACGGGGAAAGAUUUAUCGCCGAAAGAUCGGCCCGCGUCUGAUUAGCUAGUUGGUGAGGUAAUGGCUCACCAAGGCGACGAUCAGUAGCUGGUCUGAGAGGAUGAUCAGCCACAUUGGGACUGAGACACGGCCCAAACUCCUACGGGAGGCAGCAGUGGGGAAUAUUGGACAAUGGGCGCAAGCCUGAUCCAGCCAUGCCGCGUGAGUGAUGAAGGCCCUAGGGUUGUAAAGCUCUUUUGUGCGGGAAGAUAAUGACGGUACCGCAAGAAUAAGCCCCGGCUAACUUCGUGCCAGCCGCCGCGGUAAAAC
rnacentral:rRNA from 1 species